AGGCUGUAACUCAGUGGUAGAGCAUCUGCUCUGCAUGCAGAAGGUCCCGGGUUCAAUCUCUGCAAGCAUGUCUG